AUGGGUUACCCUCAUUUUGGGUGCAGUAUUUGAGGGAAAACAGUAGGAAAAGCUAUACGCUCUGGCGGCCCACUGGUUAUUGGGUAUACAAAAAUAUGUGAACAAUGGCAAUAACCGUAAUGGUAACAGCAGCCCUCAAUAAACAAAUUAAUUUCCAUGGGAGAGUGUUCCACCUCAGAGAGUAACCCUUGCCCCUGCCCCUUUUCGGAGCAAAGUAUCUCCAGAAUGUUUGAAGAUAGUUGGAGAAUUGCACAGUUGGGCGCCGUUGCCCCUUCGGUUCGGUUCGGUUCGGUUCGGUUCUGUGUUCUGUUCGGAUGCCCAAGUGUUUGCCUCCAUUUAAUUGCAAUUCCUUCCUCCUCUGAUAACGGGCCGCAUAAAUUACGGUGAAAAGCAGAAAGCUGAUUGAAAACUUUUCGCAUUUCCCGAUGUUUUUUUGAAAGCAAUCUUGUUGUUGCCAUUUUUGUGAAUUUUUUUUUUGUUAAUGUGCCAAACCAAAGAAAAAAGUUAAUCAAAACUAAAAAAUACAAAAUAAAUCGGAAAUUUGUGCGAUAAGCCAAGCCCCCCCCCCAGCCGCGCUCUCUUUUGAACGGAAGCUAACGGGAAGCU